GAUGAACGCUGGCGGCGUGCCUAAUACAUGCAAGUCGAGCGAACGGACGAGAAGCUUGCUUCUCUGAUGUUAGCGGCGGACGGGUGAGUAACACGUGGAUAACCUACCUAUAAGACUGGGAUAACUUCGGGAAACCGGAGCUAAUACCGGAUAAUAUUUUGAACCGCAUGGUUCAAAAGUGAAAGACGGUCUUGCUGUCACUUAUAGAUGGAUCCGCGCUGCAUUAGCUAGUUGGUAAGGUAACGGCUUACCAAGGCAACGAUGCGUAGCCGACCUGAGAGGGUGAUCGGCCACACUGGAACUGAGACACGGUCCAGACUCCUACGGGAGGCAGCAGUAGGGAAUCUUCCGCAAUGGGCGAAAGCCUGACGGAGCAACGCCGCGUGAGUGAUGAAGGUCUUCGGAUCGUAAAACUCUGUUAUUAGGGAAGAACAUAUGUGUAAGUAACUGUGCACAUCUUGACGGUACCUAAUCAGAAAGCCGCGGCUAACUACGUGCCAGCAGCCGCGGUAAUACGUAGGUGGCAAGCGUUAUCCGGAAUUAUUGGGCGUAAAGCGCGCGUAGGCGGUUUUUUAAGUCUGAUGUGAAAGCCCACGGCUCAACCGUGGAGGGUCAUUGGAAACUGGAAAACUUGAGUGCAGAAGAGGAAAGUGGAAUUCCAUGUGUAGCGGUGAAAUGCGCAGAGAUAUGGAGGAACACCAGUGGCGAAGGCGACUUUCUGGUCUGUAACUGACGCUGAUGUGCGAAAGCGUGGGGAUCAAACAGGAUUAGAUACCCUGGUAGUCCACGCCGUAAACGAUGAGUGCUAAGUGUUAGGGGGUUUCCGCCCCUUAGUGCUGCAGCUAACGCAUUAAGCACUCCGCCUGGGGAGUACGACCGCAAGGUUGAAACUCAAAGGAAUUGACGGGGACCCGCACAAGCGGUGGAGCAUGUGGUUUAAUUCGAAGCAACGCGAAGAACCUUACCAAAUCUUGACAUCCUUUGACAACUCUAGAGAUAGAGCCUUCCCCUUCGGGGGACAAAGUGACAGGUGGUGCAUGGUUGUCGUCAGCUCGUGUCGUGAGAUGUUGGGUUAAGUCCCGCAACGAGCGCAACCCUUAAGCUUAGUUGCCAUCAUUAAGUUGGGCACUCUAAGUUGACUGCCGGUGACAAACCGGAGGAAGGUGGGGAUGACGUCAAAUCAUCAUGCCCCUUAUGAUUUGGGCUACACACGUGCUACAAUGGACAAUACAAAGGGCAGCGAAACCGCGAGGUCAAGCAAAUCCCAUAAAGUUGUUCUCAGUUCGGAUUGUAGUCUGCAACUCGACUACAUGAAGCUGGAAUCGCUAGUAAUCGUAGAUCAGCAUGCUACGGUGAAUACGUUCCCGGGUCU
rnacentral:rRNA from 1 species